GGGUACAUAGCUCAGUGGCAGAGCGCAUGCUUAGCACACACGAGGUCCUGGGUUCAGUCCCCAGUACCCCCA
rnacentral:tRNA from 1 species